rnacentral:rRNA from 1 species
CCUACGGGAGGCAGCAGUGAGGAAUAUUGGUCAAUGGGCGGAAGCCUGAACCAGCCAAGUCGCGUGAGGGAUUAAGGCCCUAUGGGUCGUAAACCUCUUUUGUCAGGGAGCAAGGUCGUCCACGUGUGGGCGUAUGGAGAGUACCUUAAGAAAAAGCAUCGGCUAACUCCGUGCCAGCAGCCGCGGUAAUACGGAGGAUGCGAGCGUUAUCCGGAUGUAUUGGUUUUAAAGGGUGCGUAGGCGGGACCUUAAGUCAGCGGUAAAAUUGCGGUGCUCAACGCCGUAGAGCCGUUGAAACUGGGGAUCUUGAGUGAGCGAGAAGUAUGCGGAAUGCGUGGUGUAGCGGUGAAAUGCAUAGAUAUCACGCAGAACUCCGAUUGCGAAGGCAGCUUACUAAGCCAUAACUGACACUGAAGCACGAAAGCGUGGGGAUCAAACAGGAUUAGAUACCCUGGUAGUC